UUGACCUCAAAUCAGGUAGGACUACCCGCUGAACUUAAGCAUAUCAAUAAGCGGAGGAAAAGAAACUAACAAGGAUUCCCCUAGUAACUGUGAGUGAAGCGGGAAGAGCUCAAAUUUAAAAUCUGGUGGUCCUCGCGGCCGUCCGAGUUGUAAUCUGGAGAAGCGUUUUCCGCGUCGGACCGUGUACAAGUCUUCUGGAAUGGAGCGUCGUAGAGGGUGAGAAUCCCGUCUCUGACACGGACCGCCGAUGCUUUUGUGAUACGCUCUCGAAGAGUCGAGUUGUUUGGGAAUGCAGCUCAAACGGGUGGUAAAUUCCAUCUAAAGCUAAAUAUUGGCGAGAGACCGAUAGCGAACAAGUACCGUGAGGGAAAGAUGAAAAGCACUUUGGAAGAG
rnacentral:rRNA from 1 species